UGCAGUCGAACGAUGAUCCCAGCUUGCUGGGGGAUUAGUGGCGAACGGGUGAGUAACACGUGAGUAACCUGCCCUUGACUCUGGGAUAAGCCUGGGAAACUGGGUCUAAUACCGGAUACGACCAUCUGGCGCAUGUCAUGGUGGUGGAAAGCUUUUGUGGUUUUGGAUGGACUCGCGGCCUAUCAGCUUGUUGGUGGGGUAAUGGCCUACCAAGGCGACGACGGGUAGCCGGCCUGAGAGGGUGACCGGCCACACUGGGACUGAGACACGGCCCAGACUCCUACGGGAGGCAGCAGUGGGGAAUAUUGCACAAUGGGCGCAAGCCUGAUGCAGCGACGCCGCGUGAGGGAUGACGGCCUUCGGGUUGUAAACCUCUUUCAGUAGGGAAGAAGCGAAAGUGACGGUACCUGCAGAAGAAGCGCCGGCUAACUACGUGCCAGCAGCCGCGGUAAUACGUAGGGCGCAAGCGUUAUCCGGAAUUAUUGGGCGUAAAGAGCUCGUAGGCGGUUUGUCGCGUCUGCUGUGAAAGACCGGGGCUCAACUCCGGUUCUGCAGUGGGUACGGGCAGACUAGAGUGCAGUAGGGGAGACUGGAAUUCCUGGUGUAGCGGUGAAAUGCGCAGAUAUCAGGAGGAACACCGAUGGCGAAGGCAGGUCUCUGGGCUGUAACUGACGCUGAGGAGCGAAAGCAUGGGGAGCGAACAGGAUUAGAUA
rnacentral:rRNA from 1 species